GGGAUAUUGAAGUGUCCAAUCCGCGGAUUGAUUUACUGUCUUAUCUCACAAUUACCGAAGACUGACGAGUGAUUAGGCAUGGCUUCACCAUCGAAAAUCCCACAUAUGCAACAGGAGCACGAAGGCCUGCAGCUGAAGCUACUUGCGACAGGUGUCAAUCACUUCAUCUGAAUUGAUCUACAAGAUUAAAGGGGGAUUAAAAAAGCACUGAGAUGGGAGUGACGGAGAAGAGUGGGAGAGAGAAGAGAGCAGAAAGGAACGUACUCAGCCACAGACCCUGUCAUUCCGAGGCAUGUCCUACAAUCCAGGAUCCUGGAUGUGGCCACAAUUGUGACAACUGCAAUCAACAGCAGUGAGAGGAAGCAAAG